CCUUUUGUAUAAUGGGUCAGCGACUUAUAUUCUGUAGCAAGGUUAACCGAAUAGGGGAGCCGAAGGGAAACCGAGUCUUAACUGGGCGUUAAGUUGCAGGGUAUAGACCCGAAACCCGGUGAUCUAGCCAUGGGCAGGUUGAAGGUUGGGUAACACUAACUGGAGGACCGAACCGACUAAUGUUGAAAAAUUAGCGGAUGACUUGUGGCUGGGGGUGAAAGGCCAAUCAAACCGGGAGAUAGCUGGUUCUCCCCGAAAGCUAUUUAGGUAGCGCCUCGUGAAUUCAUCUCCGGGGGUAGAGCACUGUUUCGGCAAGGGGGUCAUCCCGACUUACCAACCCGAUGCAAACUGCGAAUACCGGAGAAUGUUAUCACGGGAGACACACGGCGGGUGCUAACGUCCGUCGUGAAGAGGGAAACAACCCAGACCGCCAGCUAAGGUCCCAAAGUCAUGGUUAAGUGGGAAACGAUGUGGGAAGGCCCAGACAGCCAGGAUGUUGGCUUAGAAGCAGCCAUCAUUUAAAGAAAGCGUAAUAGCUCACUGGUCGAGUCGGCCUGCGCGGAAGAUGUAACGGGGCUAAACCAUGCACCGAAGCUGCGGCAGCGACGCUUAUGCGUUGUUGGGUAGGGGAGCGUUCUGUAAGCCUGUGAAGGUGUACUGUGAGGUAUGCUGGAGGUAUCAGAAGUGCGAAUGCUGACAUAAGUAACGAUAAAGCGGGUGAAAAGCCCGCUCGCCGGAAGACCAAGGGUUCCUGUCCAACGUUAAUCGGGGCAGGGUGAGUCGACCCCUAAGGCGAGGCCGAAAGGCGUAGUCGAUGGGAAACAGGUUAAUAUUCCUGUACUUGGUGUUACUGCGAAGGGGGGACGGAGAAGGCUAUGUUGGCCGGGCGACGGUUGUCCCGGUUUAAGCGUGUAGGCUGGUUUUCCAGGCAAAUCCGGAAAAUCAAGGCUGAGGCGUGAUGACGAGGCACUACGGUGCUGAAGCAACAAAUGCCCUGCUUCCAGGAAAAGCCUCUAAGCAUCAGGUAACAUCAAAUCGUACCCCAAACCGACACAGGUGGUCAGGUAGAGAAUACCAAGGCGCUUGAGAGAACUCGGGUGAAGGAACUAGGCAAAAUGGUGCCGUAACUUCGGGAGAAGGCACGCUGAUAUGUAGGUGAAGCGACUUGCUCGUGGAGCUGAAAUCAGUCGAAGAUACCAGCUGGCUGCAACUGUUUAUUAAAAACACAGCACUGUGCAAACACGAAAGUGGACGUAUACGGUGUGACGCCUGCCCGGUGCCGGAAGGUUAAUUGAUGGGGUUAGCGCAAGCGAAGCUCUUGAUCGAAGCCCCGGUAAACGGCGGCCGUAACUAUAACGGUCCUAAGGUAGCGAAAUUCCUUGUCGGGUAAGUUCCGACCUGCACGAAUGGCGUAAUGAUGGCCAGGCUGUCUCCACCCGAGACUCAGUGAAAUUGAACUCGCUGUGAAGAUGCAGUGUACCCGCGGCAAGACGGAAAGACCCCGUGAACCUUUACUAUAGCUUGACACUGAACAUUGAGCCUUGAUGUGUAGGAUAGGUGGGAGGCUUUGAAGUGUGGACGCCAGUCUGCAUGGAGCCGACCUUGAAAUACCACCCUUUAAUGUUUGAUGUUCUAACGUUGACCCGUAAUCCGGGUUGCGGACAGUGUCUGGUGGGUAGUUUGACUGGGGCGGUCUCCUCCUAAAGAGUAACGGAGGAGCACGAAGGUUGGCUAAUCCUGGUCGGACAUCAGGAGGUUAGUGCAAUGGCAUAAGCCAGCUUGACUGCGAGCGUGACGGCGCGAGCAGGUGCGAAAGCAGGUCAUAGUGAUCCGGUGGUUCUGAAUGGAAGGGCCAUCGCUCAACGGAUAAAAGGUACUCCGGGGAUAACAGGCUGAUACCGCCCAAGAGUUCAUAUCGACGGCGGUGUUUGGCACCUCGAUGUCGGCUCAUCACAUCCUGGGGCUGAAGUAGGUCCCAAGGGUAUGGCUGUUCGCCAUUUAAAGUGGUACGCGAGCUGGGUUUAGAACGUCGUGAGACAGUUCGGUCCCUAUCUGCCGUGGGCGCUGGAGAACUGAGGGGGGCUGCUCCUAGUACGAGAGGACCGGAGUGGACGCAUCACUGGUGUUCGGGUUGUCAUGCCAAUGGCACUGCCCGGUAGCUAAAUGCGGAAGAGAUAAGUGCUGAAAGCAUCUAAGCACGAAACUUGCCCCGAGAUGAGUUCUCCCUGACCCUUUAAGGGUCCUGAAGGAACGUUGAAGACGACGACGUUGAUAGGCCGGGUGUGUAAGCGCAGCGAUGCGUUGAGCUAACCGGUACUAAUGAACCGUGAGGCUUAACCUUACAACGCCGAAG
rnacentral:rRNA from 1 species